rnacentral:rRNA from 1 species
GGNNNGGGGCAAGCGUUAUUCGGAAUCAUUGGGCGUAAAGGGCGCGUAGGCGGCCUUGCAAGUCAAAGGUGAAAUCCCUCGGCCUAACCGAGGAACUGCCUUUGAUACUGCAUGGCUCGAGGCCGGGAGAGGGUAGCGGAAUUCCCAGUGUAGCGGUGAAAUGCGUAGAUAUUGGGAGGAACACCAGUGGCGAAGGCGGCUACCUGGACCGGUUCUGACGCUGAUGCGCGAAAGCGUGGGGAGCAAACAGGAUUAGAUACCCUGGUAGUCCACGCCGUAAACGAUGGGUACUCGGUGUCGCGGGUAUCGACCCCUGCGGUGCCUUAGCUAACGCGUUAAGUACCCCGCCUGGGGAGUACGGUCGCAAGGCUG